UAAGUCGGAUGUGAAAUCCCUGAGCUUAACUUAGGAAUUGCAUUCGAUACUGGGAAGCUAGAGUAUGGGAGAGGAUGGUAGAAUUCCAGGUGUAGCGGUGAAAUGCGUAGAGAUCUGGAGGAAUACCGAUGGCGAAGGCAGCCAUCUGGCCUAAUACUGACGCUGAGGUACGAAAGCAUGGGGAGCAAACAGGAUUAGAUACCCUGGUAGUCCAUGCCGUAAACGAUGUCUACUAGCCGUUGGGGCCUUUGAGGCUUUAGUGGCGCAGCUAACGCGAUAAGUAGACCGCCUGGGGAGUACGGUCGCAAGACUAAAACUCAAAUGAAUUGACGGGGGCCCGCACAAGCGGUGGAGCAUGUGGUUUAAUUCGAUGCAACGCGAAGAACCUUACCUGGUCUUGACAUAGUAAGAACUUUCCAGAGAUGGAUUGGUGCCUUCGGGAACUUACAUACAGGUGCUGCAUGGCUGUCGUCAGCUCGUGUCGUGAGAUGUUGGGUUAAGUCCCGCAACGAGCGCAACCCUUUUCCUUAUUUGCCAGCGGGUUAAGCCGGGAACUUUAAGGAUACUGCCAGUGACAAACUGGAGGAAGGCGGGGACGACGUCAAGUCAUCAUGGCCCUUACGACCAGGGCUACACACGUGCUACAAUGGUCGGUACAAAGGGUUGCUACCUAGCGAUAGGAUGCUAAUCUCAAAAAGCCGAUCGUAGUCCGGAUUGGAGUCUGCAACUCGACUCCAUGAAGU
rnacentral:rRNA from 1 species